rnacentral:rRNA from 1 species
CCUACGGGUGGCAGCAGUGGGGAAUAUUGCGCAAUGGGCGAAAGCCUGACGCAGCGACGCCGCGUGAGGGAUGACGGUCUUCGGAUCGUAAACCUCUGUCAGCAGGGAAGAACGGUCACUGUGCUAAUCAGCAGUGAAUUGCCGGUAACUGCAAAGGAAGCACCGGCUAACUACGUGCCAGCAGCCGCGGUAAUACGGAGGGUGCGAGCGUUAAUCGGAAUUACUGGGCGUAAAGCGCUAGUAGGCGGUAUGGCAAGUCACGGGUGAAAUCCACGCGGUAAACGUGGGAAUUGCAUAUGAAACUUGCGAACUGGAGUGUGUGAGAGGAUAGUGGAAUUCCAGGUGGAG